UUUUCGCAAUGCCCGAAAGGGUGACGAAGCGACGCCGCGUGGGUGAGGAAGGCCCUCGGGUUGUAAAGCCCUGUCAGGAGUUAAGAAGCAUAAGUGCGCUAAUAUCGCAUUUAUUUGACAAAGGCUCCAAAGGAAGCCACGGCUAACUCUGUGCCAGCAGCCGCGGUAAUACAGAGGUGGCAAGCGUUGUUCGGAAUUAUUGGGCGUAAAGAGCACGUAGGUGGGUUUGUAAGUCAGAUGUGAAAGCCUUCUGUUCAACGGAAGAAUUGCAUCUGAAACUGCAAGUCUUGAGUGUAGGAGGGGAGAAUGGAACUUCUGGUGGAGCGGUGAAAUGCGUAGAUAUCAGAAGGAACGCCGGCGGCGAAAGCGAUUCUCUGGCCUAUUACUGACACUCAGUGUGCGAAAGCUAGGGGAGCAAACGGGAUUAGAUACCCCGGUAGUCCUAGCCGUAAACGAUGGGCACUAAGUAGAGGGGUUUUA
rnacentral:rRNA from 1 species